GCCGCAUCAAAGUAGAUCGGGUUACUCUUCAAAUUUUAUUGAAAUGCCGAUAGCUUAAUCGCUAAUGGCGGGCCUCAACCCCCACUGGGGGCGUAUCUUCGCGAUACCGGAGGAUUACAAAGGCGACGAUGCUUUCAAAUCUUGUAUUUAGUCGGAGUUUCAUCACAUCCUUUGGUGUGGCUUCA
rnacentral:sRNA from 1 species